AAUGAUGCAAGAGGAAAAGCAACUUAAGAAGCUGUAAAUGGAUUCAAGCCAGGAAUGUUCUAGGGUCAUUCUGGGAGCUGGUUGUUAAAUUUUUGGUGUUAAAUUAAACAGACAACGGGCUGCUGCCGUCCAUGCUAAAAAAUCAGUGGGGAUUGUUUUAAUGGGGACCACUUUCAACUGGAAAAUUGGUGCUUAUAUUUUUAUAGCUCACCAUGUGGAGUUCUUUCAUCCAGCCAAGAGAGGAGAAAUCUCAUCAGGUUCAAGGUUCCUGUUUUUCUCUGUGGUUCACACAUCCAGCAUAAUGUUUCUUCUCCUCCUCCUCCUCCACCCCAUGGAAUUGAAGAUGACUCUGCUGCAUUUGAAUUAAAACCAAAUGAGUUAAUCAUCACUUUAAAAUUAAGGUGUCAUUCGUAAAUGCUUUAUUCAUUAUUAAUGAAAUGAUUUAUGCUUGCAGUAAUAUCCUUUAUUUGUGCAUGAAAAAGUAAGUUAUGAAAAGCAACAGAGGAAAACUUUAGCAGAUAAGGGUAUGUUCAUUUCUUCCCAAAAGCUGCUCCAAAAUAUAUCUUGCAGAAAAGUUACUAUGCAAAUGUCUAUGGGGAGAGCGGAACCAAUUAUUCAUCAGGCCAUAAAGUGACAUAUGAGGAAGUUGUUAAUAAUAAAUAAUAAGAUAAUAUUGUUAAUACUAAUGAUGAUCAUGUACUUUGCCAAUGGCCCAUUAAUAAUAAACGCUAUCAUUAAUACAAUGAAUAAUAAAGUAUUACAAUUAG